AGAGUUUGAUCCUGGCUCAGAACGAACGCUGGCAGCGUGGAUUAGGCAUGCAAGUCGAACGAUCCGCUGUAAUGCGGAAAGUGGCAAAAGGGUGAGUAACACGUAGGUAAUCUGCCUUUAGGUUCAGAAUAACUUGCCGAAAGGCGAGCUAAUACUGGAUAAGACCACAUUUCGAUACUUCGAAGAGUGGUUAAAGCCGGGGACCCCAACAGGGCCUGGCGCCUUUAGAUGAGCCUGCGUCCUAUCAGCUAGUUGGUAGGGUAAUGGCCUACCAAGGCAUUUGACGGGUAGCUGGUCUGAGAGGAUGGUCAGCCACACUGGGACUGAGACACUGCCCAGACUCCUACGGGAGGCUGCAGUCGAGAAUCUUUUGCAAUGCGCGAAAGCGUGACAAUGCGACGCUGCGUGAGCGAUGAAGGUCUUCGGAUUGUAAAGCUCUGUCAGCCUGGAUGAAAGUCUCGGGUUUAAUAUUCCCGAGAUCUGACGGUACAGGCAGAGGAAGCCACGGCUAACUCCGUGCCAGCAGCCGCGGUAAUACGGAGGUGGCGAGCGUUGUUCGGAUUUAUUGGGUGUAAAGGGUAUGUAGGUGUCCUGCUAAGUCUCUCUUUAAAUACUUUGGCUCAACCAAAGAACUGGGGGGGAUACUGACGGGAUUGAGUACAGAAGAGGAAAGCGGAAUUCCCGGUGUAAGGGUGAAAUCUGUAGAUAUCGGGAGGAACACCAGUGGCGAAAGCGGCUUUCUGGUCUGAUACUGACACUGAAAUACGAAAGCAAGGGGAGCAAACAGGAUUAGAUACCCUGGUAAUCCUUGCCGUAAACGAUGGGCACUAGGUGUAUGCCCUUAAUUGGGUGUGUGCCGCAGUAAACACAUUAAGUGCCCCACCUGGGGAGUACGGCCGCAAGGCUGAAACUCAAAGGAAUUGACGGGGACCCGCACAAGCGGUGGAGCAUGUGGUUUAAUACGACGAUACGCGUGGAACCUUACCAGGACUUGACAUGUUAGAAGUAGAAACCUGAAAAGGCAACGACCCGUUAAGUCGGGAACUAACACAGGUGUUGCAUGGCUGUCGUCAGCUCGUGUCGUGAGAUGUUGGGUUAAGUCCCGCAACGAGCGCAACCAUCGUUUCUAGUUGCUAAUCUCGAGCAAUCGAGAUGCACUCUAGAGAGACUGCCAGUGUUUAACUGGAGGAAGGUGGUGAUGACGUCAAGUCAGUACGGCCCUUACGUCCUGGGCUACACACGUGCUACAAUGGCCGGUACAAAGAGACGCAAUACCGCGAGGUGGAGCAAAUCUCAGAAAGCCGGUCUCAGUUCGGAUUGAAGGCUGCAACUCGCCUUCAUGAAGCUGGAAUCGCUAGUAACCGCAGAUCAGCUAUGCUGCGGUGAAUACGUUCCCGGGUCUUGUACACACCGCCCGUCAAGUCACCUGAGUCGAGUGCACCCGAAGACGUUGAUCCAACCCGCAAGGGAGGAAGGUGUCGAAGGUGUGCUUGGUGAGGAGGACUAAGUCGUAACAAGGUA
rnacentral:rRNA from 1 species